AUGAUGUUGUUUCUUAGGACACCUUUGGAUUAAUCAUGAAAACAAUUACUCUCUGAGCAGCCGCGGGGGUAGUACUUAAUACUUGUAUAAACUAUAUGCCGUUGUAAACAUAGAUUAACAGAAUGGUUCUUGCUCCCUUUCAGGUGACCUCUAAAAAUGGUUCGCUAUUCACUUGACCCAGAAAACCCCACAAAAUCAUGCAAAUCAAGAGGUUCAAAUCUUCGUGUUCACUUUAAGAACACUCGUGAAACUGCCCAGGCCAUUAAGGGUAUGCAUAUCCGAAAAGCCACCAAGUAUUUGAAGGACGUCACUUUACAGAAGCAAUGUGUGCCGUUCCGUCGUUACAAUGGUGGAGUUGGUAGGUGUGCCCAGG